GGAGAAAGACACAGACCUGUCUUCAGGUCAUUGCCUUAACCUUGGCAAAAUAAACUUCUAAAUGGAUUGAGACCUGUCUCAGAUACUUUUUGGUUUACAAGGGCGAGCUCACAAGGCUUUAGCGGACCUCUGGGAGCGUGCACAAAGAAGGGACGCUUGAAUUGCUUGUUUUCUCAAGAAGUGUCAGGUCUGAGAGCCUGAAGCUACCCAGCCAAGUACUCCUCACGUCUCCUCCCUGCCUUACAGGGAGGGGAUUCAGCGUUGGUUUUGACUGUCACCAGGACUGGACAUCCUGAUGACCGAAAAAGCAGAUGGCGUUUGUGACUAUAUAUACAUAAUACAACAGAGAAAGCCAAAAAUCCAAGGAACUGCAAGAAUUUUUAUCCGGGUGAAGAUUAUCCUGACAGAGAAAAGUUAGGUGAGGAAGACAAAAACAAAGCUGUAUUUGGAUAAUGUCACGAGUCCUGUUUGUUCAACACACUGGACACAGCAAGACGACUGACUGAAUUAGCCUCCCAUGGCCUCUGCCCAGGCUGGAUAAGAACCUCAAACCUAGGAGGGAGUGGAGGAGACGGAGCUUGGAGAGCCUACCUGCACCCAGGUGAAAUAAACAGCCAUGUUGCUCACGCAAAGCCUGUUUGGUGGUCUCUUCACACGGACGCGCAUGAAAUUUGGUGCCGUGACUUGGAUCGGGGGACCUCCCUUCGGAGAUCAAUCCCCUGUCCUCCUGUUCUUUGCUCCAUGAGAAAGAUCCACCUACGACCUCAGGUCCUCAGACUGACCAGCCCAAGAAACAUCUCACCAAUUUCAAAUCCGGUAAGCGGCCUCUUUUUACUUCUCUUCUCCAACCUCCCUCACUAUCCCUCAACCUCUUUCUCCUUUCAAUCUUGGCGCCACACUUCAAUCUCUCCCUUCUGUUAAUUUCAAUUCCUUUCAUUUUCUGGUAGAGACAAAGGAGACACGUUUUAUCUGUGGACCCAAAACUCCAGCGCCGGUCACGGACUGGGAAGGCAGCCUUCCCUUGGUGUUUAAUCAUUGCAGGGAUGCCUCUCUGAUUAUACACCCACGUUUCAAGGGUCUCAGACCACGCAGGGACACCUGCCUUGGUCCUUCACCCUUAGCGGCAAGUCCCGCUUUUCUGGGGAAGGGGCAAGUACCCCGACCCCUUAUCUCCUUGUCUCUACCCCUUCUCUGCUUUCCUGGGGCAGGGGCAAGAACCCCUCAACCCCUUCUCUCCUUGUCUCUACCCCUUCUCUGCUUUCCUGGGGCAGGGGCAAGAACCCCUCAACCCCUUCUCCUUCACCCUUAGCAGCAAGUCCCGCUUUCCUGGGGCAGGGGCAAGUACCCCUCAACCCCUUCUCCUUCACCCUUAGCGGCAAGUCCCGCUUUCCUAGGGGGCAAGAACCCCCCAAUCACUUAUUUCCAUGCCCCAACCUUUAUCUCUGCACCCCAAUCCCUUAUUUCUGUGCCCCAACCCUUUCUCUGCUUUUCUGGAGGGCAAGAACCCCCAACCCCUUCUCUGUGUCUCUACUCUUUUCUCUGGGUUUGCCUCCUUCACUAUGGGCAAGCUUCCACCUUCCAUUCCUCCUCCUUCUCCCUUAGCCUAUAUUCUUCAGAACUUAAAACCUCUUCAAUUCUCACCUGACCUAAAAUCUAAGCAUCUUAUUUUCUUCUGCAAUGCUGCUUGACCCCAAUAUAAACUCGACAGGAGUUCCAAAUAGCCAGAAAAUGGCACAUUCAAUUUUUCCAUCCUACAAGAUCUAAAUAAUUCUUGUCGUAAAAUGGCAAAUGGUCUGAGGUGCCUGAAGUCCAGGCAUUCUUUUACACAUCAGUCCCUUCCUAGUCUCUGUGCCCAGUGCAACUCGUCCCAAAUCUUCCUUCUUUCCCUCCCGCCUGUCCCCUCAGUCCCAACCCCAAGCGUCACUGAGUCUUUCUAAUCUUCCUUUUCUGCAGACCCAUCUGACCUCUCCCCUCCUCGCCAGGCUGAGCUAGGUCCCAAUUCUUCCUCAGCCUCCGCUCCUCCACCCUGUAAUCUUUUUAUCACCUCCCCUCCUCACACCUGGUCCGGCUUACAGUUUCCUUCCGUGACUAGCCCUCCCCCACCUGCCCAGCGAUUUACUCUUAAAAAGGUGUCUGGAGCCAAAGGCAUAGUCAAGGUUAAUGCUCCUUUUUCUUUAUCCCAAAUCAGAUAGUGUUUAGGCUCUUUUUCAUCAAAUAUAAAAACCCAGCCCACUUCAUGUCUCAUUCGGCAGCAACCCUGUGACGCUUUACAGCCCUAGACCCUAAAAGGUCAAAAGGCCAUCUUAUUCUCAAUAUACAUUUUAUUACCCAAUCUGCUCCCGACAUUAAAUAAAACUCCAAAAAUUAGAAUCUGGCCCUCAAACCCCACAACAGGACUUAAUUAACCUCACCUUCAAGGUGUACAAUAAUAAUAAAAAAAAAAAAGUUGCAAUUCCUUGCCUCCACUGUGAGACAAACCCCAGCCACAUCUCCAGCACACAAGAAGUUCCAAACGCCUGAACUGCAGUGGCCAGGCAUUCCUCCAGAACCUCCUCCCCAGGAGCUUACUACAAGUGCCAGAAAUCUGGCCACCAGGCCAAGGAAUGCCCGCAGCCCAGGAUUCCUCCUAAGCCGUGUCCCAUCUGUGUGGGACCCCACUGGAAAUCGGACUGUUCAACUCACCUGGCAGCCACUCCCAGAGCCCCUGGAACUCUGGCCCAAGGCUCUCUGACUGACUCCUUCUUGGCUUACCGGCUGAAGACUGACACUGCCUGAUCUCCUCGGAAGCCCCAUAGACCAUCACGGACGCCGAGCUUUAGGUAGCUCUCACAGUGGAAGGUAAGUCCAUCCCCUUCUUAAUCAAUAUGGAGGCUACCCACUCCACAUUACCUUCUUUUCAAGGGCCUGUUUCCCUUGCCUCCAUAACUGUUGUGGAUAUUGACAGCCGGGCUUCUAAACCUCUUAAAACUCCCCAACUCUGGUACCAACUUAGACAACACUCUUUUAUGCACUCUUUUUUAGUUAUCCCCACCUGCCCAGUUCCCUUAUUAGGCCGAGAUAUUUUAAGCAAAUUAUCUGCUUCCCUAUUCCUGGAUUACAGCUGCGUCUCAUUGCUGCCCUUCUUCCCAAUCCAAAGCCUCCUUUGCGUCCUCCUCUUGUAUCCCCCAAACUUAACCCACAAGUGUAAGAUACCUCUACUCCCUCCUUGGUGACCGAUCAUGCACCCCUUACCAUCUCAUUAAAACCUAAUCACCCUUACCCCACUAAAUGCCAGUAUCCCAUCCCGCAGCAUGCUUUGAAAGGAUUAAAGCCUGUUAUCACUGGCCUGCUACAGCAUGGCCUUUUAAAGCCUAUAAACUCUCCUUACAAUUCCCCCAUUUUACCUGUCCUAAAACCAGACAAGCCUUACAAGUUAGUUCAGAAUCUGCGCCUUAUCAACCAAAUUGUUUUGCCUAUCCACCCCGUGGUGCCAAACCCAUAUACUCUCCUAUCCUCAAUACCUGCCUCUACAACCCAUUAGUCUGUUCUAGAUCUCAAACAUGCUUUCUUUACUAUUCCUUUGCACCCUUAAUCCCAGCCUCUCUUUGCUUUCACUUGGACUGACCCUGACACCCAUCAAGCUCAGCAAAUUACCUAGGCUGUACUGCCGCAAAGCUUCACAGACAGCCCCCAUUACUUCAAUCAAGCCCAAAUUUCAUCCUCAUCUGUUACCUAUCUCGGCAUAAUUCUCAGAAAAACCUACAUGCUCUCCCUGCCAAUCGUGUCCGACUGAUCUCUCAAACCCCAGCACCUUCUAUAAAACAACAACUCCUUUCCUUCCUUGGCAUGGUUAGCGUGGUCAGAAUUCUUACACAAGAGCCAGGACCACACCCUGUAGCCUUUCUGUCCAAACAACUUGACCUUACUGUUUUAGCCUAGCCCUCAUAUCUGUGUGCAGCGGCUGCCACUGCUUUAAUACUUUUAGAGGCCCUCAAAAUCACAAAGUAUGCUCAACUCACGCUCUACAGUUCUCAUAACUUCCAAAAUCUAUUUUCUUCCUCAUACCUGAUGCAUAUACUUUCUGCUUCCUGGCUCCUUCAGGUGUACUCACUCUUUGUUAAGUCCCACAAUUACCAUUGUUCCUGGCCCAGACUUCAAUCCGGCCUCCCACAUUAUUCCUGAUACCACACCUGACCCCCAUGACUGUAUCUCUCUGAUCCACCUGACAUUCACCCCAUUUCCCCAUAUUUCCUUCUUUCCCGUUCCUCACCCUGAUCACGCUUGAUUUAUUGAUGGUGGUUCCACCAGGCCUAAUCGCCACACACCAGCAAAGGGAGGUUAUGCUAUAGUACAAGCCACUAGCCUGCCUCUUAGAACCUCUCAUUUUCUUUCCAUCAUGGAAAUCUAUCCUCAAGGAAAUAACUUCUCAGUGUUCCAUCUGCUAUUCUACUACUCCUCAGGGAUUAUUCAGGCCCCCUCCCUUCCCUACACAUCAAGCUCGAGGAUUUGCCCCCAUCCAGGACUGGCAAAUUAGCUUUACUCAACAUGCCCGAGUCAGGAAGCUAAAAUACCUCUUAGUCUAAAUAGACACUUUCACUGAAUAAGUAAAGGCCUUUCCUACAGGGUCUGAGAAGGACACCACAGUCAUUUCUUCCAUUCUGUCAGACAUAAUUCCUCAGUUUAGCCUUCCCACCUCUAUACAGUCUGAUAACAGAUGAGCCUUUAUUAGUCAAAUCAGCCAAGCAUUUUCUCAGGCUCUUAGUAUUCAGUGACUGACUAAUGGUCUAUUAAAAACACACCUCACCAAGCUCAGCCACCAACUUAAUAAGGACUGGACAAUACUUUUACCACUUUCCCUUCUCAGAAGUCAGACAUGUAAUGCUACAAGGUAUAGCCCAUUUAACCUCCUGUAUGGAUGCUUCUUUUUAUUAGGCCCCAGUCUCAUUCCAGACAAAAGACUAACUUCGACUGUGCCCCAGAAAACUUGUCAUCCCUACUAUCUUCUGUCUAGUCAUACUCCUAUUCACGUUCUCAACUACUCAUACAUGCCCUGCUCUUGUUUACACUGCCGGUUUACACUGUUUCUCCAAGCCAUCACAGCUGAUAUCUCCUGUGCUAUCUCCAAAGUGCCACUCUUAACUCUUGAAGUAAAUAAAUAAUCUUUGCUGGCAGGACUAUGCUGAACCUCCAUAGGCACUCUCUAAUUAGAUGUCCUAGGUCCUCCCAAUUCUUAGUGCUUUUAUACCUGUUUUUCUCCUUCUCUUAUUCCAUUUAGUUUUUCAAUUCAUACAAAACUGUAUCCAGGCCAUCACCAAUCAUUCUAUACGACAAAUAUUUCUUCUAACAUCCCCACAAUAUCACCCCUUACCACAAGACCUCCCUUCAGCUUAAUCUCUCCCACUCUAGGUUCCCACACCACCCCUAAUCCCGCUUGAAGCAGCCCUGAGAAACAUCGCCCAUUCUCUCUCCAUACCACCGCCCAAAAAUUUUCGCCGCCCCAAGACUUCAACACUAUUUUGUUUUAUUUUUCUUAUUAAUAUAAGAAGGCAGGAAUGUCAGGCCUCUGAGCCCAAGCCAAGCCAUCGCAUCCCCUGUGACUUGCACGUAUAAGCCCCGAUGGCCUGAAGUAACUGAAGAAUCACAAAAGAAGUGAAUAUGCCCUGCCCCACCUUAACUGAUGACAUUCCACCACAAAAGAAGUGUAAAUGGCCGGUCCUUGCCUUAAGUGAUGACAUUACCUUGUGAAAGUCCUUUUCCUAGCUCAUCCUGGCUCAGAAAGCUCCCCCACUGAGCACCUUGCGACCCCUACUCCUGCCCACCCGAGAACAAGCCCCCUUUGACUGUAAUUUUCCUUUACCUAGCCAAAUCCUAUAAAACAGCCCCACUCUUAUCUCCCUUCACUGACUCUGUUUUCGGACUCAGCCCGCCUGCACCCAGGUGAAAUAAACAGCCAUGUUGCUCACACAAAGCCUGUUUGCUGUUCUCUUUACAGGGACGCGCAUGAAAGUAAAGACUACAAAACCCUGAUAAUUUUUAUAUUUCCUUGGGAUAGAGAUUGUAGUGGGGGUAACCUUCUUAACCAAGAGAGAAGAAAAGCCAUAAAUAAUACAAAUUGACAGAAUUUUUU
rnacentral:lncRNA from 1 species